UAAAAAUGAAAAGGAAUUCCAAGCGUUCCUGUGGAUAUUUAUUAAGAAAGAUUGACAAUUGAGGGUAUUUCAAUUCUGAUAUAGUUUGCAGUCUUGGAGAGAAACUACUAGAAAUAUUUUCAUUGCAGAUUGUAGAUGUUAGUCAGUCAGUCAAAAAUAAUUUCUUAUUACUCAUCAAACUAAAAUAAAAGUUGUUCACAUUUAAAUGUAUUCCCAAACAGAGUAUUCUUAGUGCAAAAAUUUGUAACUCAGCUCAUUUAUUUUUGACAAGUAUGAAUAAAAUUCAAUGAAAUCUGUAUCUUCAAAUCUUUGAAUAAGAUUUACAUCACACUAUAAAUUAAUUAGCACUGCUUAGAGGUUUUCUAGUGCGUUAAUCACGCUCAUUUUUAAUGGUAUUGAAAGUAACGUAAACUCAGACUUCAAAUAUCUAAAAUUUUCAAAUCUUUGCAACAAGCAUUGAAAUGUAUUCGCAGGUUGCAUAAAAUUGCUUUGGGGGUUGCAUGCCAUCAGUUUGAGACCACUGCUUAGGUAUCACCGAACCCUGCUAAGUUCUGUUCCAAUAUUUUCAUGGAGAAUGUCCCUGGUGGCAGUUCGAAAAGUCUAUCACCCCCUUUCUCCUAAAUCGGCAUGCAUUAUAGUGCCCCCCUUAAUGUAUAGACACUAUACACUUAUAAACCUCCAUGGCUUCUUCAGGAUUUGAACCCAGGCACAUUGGUACAGCAGUAAGUACCACUAACCACUAUACUGGCUGGACAACUAAUUCAUCGUUAAGGUAGAAGCUAGGCCAAAACCUCUGUAAUACCACAGGUGAUUGACGUAUUGCUGAACAAAACUAACUGUUGAGCUUCCGGCCUGAUUUUGAGGAAGAACAACAUGGAGUGUAGUUAGAGGUUCUUCCACCUCUCUUUCCCUAUUAACAACCUCUCACAAGAACUUUCAGCUCACCAUUCAUUUUAAGUGCCCCCCUCCACACAGACACUACAUGCUUAUAACAUCUACAUGUUCUCCGGGAUUCGAACCCAGGACCCAUCGAUAUAAUAGUUAGCACCGUGAACCGCUACACUGGCUGGGUGUUAAUUCAGAGUAACAAGUGAAAAGGUGAGAGCAGAUCUGGAUACCCAGGCAGCUUACAUAUGCUAAUCAUGUGUUAUUCAGAUCCGAAUUCAGAGUAACAAGAGAUUAGAGCAAAUGAGAUGGAGAAAUAUAAACUGCUGACCAGAGAAGUGAAAACGACUGCGAACAACUUGCGAUUAUUACUGGUCACAGAGUUCUGAGGAGGAUGUCUAAAAAAUCAUUGUUGGUUUACGAUUAACCCACCACAGAAAUUAUGAAGAUAAAUAGAAAAUUAUAUACAAAUUCAGAAAAUAAACAAUUUUUUAAAAAAUUAACUUGUUUUUAUUUCAACAUGGACACUUUCAACACAACAUGGACAUAAAAGAACACUUUCUAAAAAGUAUUAAGAAUAAAACAAAAAAUUCUUAAAUGCUCAUAAAAUUUUAUUUUUAUAAAACUAUACAUAAUUAUAAAUACAAUCAUACCAGCUCAAAGACAAGCAGCACAGUCACACUAUAGUAAGUUAGAAAAUUCAGAAAUGAAGCAAGUGUAAAGAAAUAAUACAUAAGUGCAUACAAGAAAAUCUAUUUAAUAUGAGUAUGAUUAAAUUUCUAUUUCUGAGUACAUGGACUUUUCAAUAAAUAGUUUAGUUAUAUACAUCCACGAUAUGAUAAAGAUGAAAUCUGAACAAUGCUAAACUUGAAAGGACGUUUAAUAAAUAAAAAAAUAUUUUUAGCAUAUUUCAUAAAAUUAUUUUAUUAUCUAAUGCAGUAACUAAAAAAUAGCAAUCGCAGGAGGACCUUUACAAAUAAAAUAAAAAAUAAUUAGUAACAAAUGGAUAAUGUAGUACUAUUUAAAAAGGGAUUUUUAAUUUGAUAUAAUGCAGAUUCUUAAUAUUCAACAAACCAAGCUACCUAUUGAAAGUAGACUACUCAUACUACGUGUUUAAAUUACUCUCAUCAUAACAGCAAAUGCCCCACAAGGAUCUGAUAGCAUAUUAAAUACAGAAAUGUUAGCAUAUAAAUAAAACUAAAAUUUUUCUUAACAAAUAGUACAUCAAAUUGGAAUUAUUAAAAUAAUUUAACAGUUAAAAUAGAACACAUUGAGUAUAUCAGUUAAAAAUGUGCAGCAUUUCUAUAUACAUGAUGACAUACAAAAAUCAUACUUUUUCUUCCUAAACAAGUGAAUUUAAUGGCAAGUAACAUGCAUUUAAAAAGAUUUAUGUAUUUUACUUUUUUUCCUUUCUUCUUUGAAACUAUUUUGCAUUUAAAACUUUUCCUCUAUCAUUCUGCUAUGAAAUAAUUCUUACAUUAGAUUUAUUGUUUACACUUCAAUAAAAUCUGUAAAUAUUAUACUUUAUUACCACAUACUGUAAAAACAGACUACACCACCAAUAGACUAAAUAAAAUACAGACCUCCAGUUUAAUGUUUAAAACAUUUAGAAAUAAAUUUUAAAUACACACUAAUUUGGACAUAAAAAGGCUACACAUGUUUGAGCUACCUAUGAAAGAACACUAGAAGUUCUGAAGCAUGUUUAGCUUGGAUAAUUUCAAAUACUUGGAAAAAAAUUUGGUUACAUGAAACUAAUAUUUUUUUUUUACAUAUUUCAAAUUUCACAGUUACAACCACUAUACUUAAUAUAAUGACAACUGCAAUCCAAUUAUUUAUAUCAAGACUACAUUAACAAUUGAUUAACUUAAAAAUACUAGUCAUUGCUUUAUGAACAAGGUCUCUGUCCCUGUUCACAAAGCAAUAUUUUUAAUGAGUAUUUUAUGUGGAAAAAUUUAAUUUUGUUGAAAUUUAAAUAAUUUUCUAAAUAACUUCAUUACAUGCUGUCUUUUUUGUAGAAUAACUUACUAACGAAAAAUAUUAAAUGCAAAGAAAGCUUCAUUUCAUCUCCGGAACCGAAAAUCAUCACGCAGCACAAUAAAAAUGACGUUCGUGCAAACUGUAUGGCUGUACAAUAUAUUUUAUAUAUACACUAUAGAAAUUAGAAUUUACUUUCUCAAUUUGUAUCUUUUGUUUAAUAAUACUCUUAAAUAUUCAGAUGGGCCUUUUUCUUCCACAUGGGUACUUUUAUUGACUAUCAUGGAGCUACAUAAACUAGACAUAUUAACUUGAUUCUCAGUAAUUAUACAGAAAAUGAGUUAAAGAGUUAUGAAGAACAAUAAUGGUGGAUAAAGCUUAAUGAAAUAUUAUAAUGUUAAUAUAUUGUACAACACAUUGCAUGGAAAAAAAGAAUAAUAAAAUACAGGAAGACCCUGCUUAAUGCAAAUUUGAUAUGAACACUGAUCAAGUAAGUGUCUAAGCAAAAUGAUAUUACUUCUGUCUUUAUGCUAUGGAUUAAGCAGUGAAAAGUGUUAUUUUUUUUAGGGGGAGGGGGACAAGCUGCAGCAACACAGUUUCAAAUCGAGCAAUACUAUUAAAAUACGUAAAAAAAUUAAUAUAACUGCAUUGAAAAAAUAUAAUACAUAAUAGGGAAUUUUUAGUAACAUGCCAAAAUGCUGCUCAAUUUAAAUGACAGUACAGUUUACAUAUUUUACUAGUAUUACCUAACAAUUGUUGCAUCAAAUUUCAACAAAUGGUAUACUUUGCUUUUUUGUAGUAAUUUCAACAAAAACAAGGUGUGAUAAGAAAAAAGAGUUCAAUCUCAUAAAAAAAAAAA